AUUGAACGCUGGCGGCAGGCCUAACACAUGCAAGUCGAGCGAGCGGCGGACGGGUGAGUAAUGUCUGGGAAACUGCCUGAUGGAGGGGGAUAACUACUGGAAACGGUAGCUAAUACCGCAUACCAUCAGAUGUGCCCAGAUGGGAUUAGCUAGUAGGUGGGGUAAUGUCUCACCUAGGCGACGAUCCCUCGCUGGUCUGAGAGGAUGACCAGCAACACUGGAACUGAGACACGGUCCAGACUCCGACGGAAGGCAGCAGUGGGGAAGAUUGCACAAUGGGGGAAAGCCUGGUGCAGCCAUGCCGCGUGUAUGAAGAGGGCCUUAGGGUUGUAAAGUACUUUCAGCGAGGAGGCGUUACUCGCAGAAGAAGCACCGGCUAACUCCGUGCCAGCAGCCGCGGUAAUAC
rnacentral:rRNA from 1 species